rnacentral:rRNA from 1 species
CCCGCACAAGUAGCGGAGCAUGUGGUUUAAUUCGAAGCAACGCGAAGAACCUUACCUAAGCUUGACAUCCCAAUGACAUCUCCUUAAUCGGAGAGUUCUCUUCGGGGACAUUGGUGACAGGUGGUGCAUGGUUGUCGUCAGCUCGUGUCGUGAGAUGUUGGGUUAAGUCCCGCAACGAGCGCAACCCUUGUCUUUAGUUGCCAUCAUUAAGUUGGGCACUCUAGAGAGACUGCCAGGGAUAACCUGGAGGAAGGUGGGGAUGACG